rnacentral:rRNA from 1 species
CUGGCCCUACGGGGGGCAGCAGUGAGGAAUAUUGGUCAAUGGGCGAGAGCCUGAACCAGCCAAGUCGCGUGAAGGAUGACGGCCCUAUGGGUUGUAAACUUCUUUUGUCGGGGAGCAAUUGGGUCCACGUGUGGGCUUAGCGAGAGUACCUGAAGAAAAAGCAUCGGCUAACUCCGUGCCAGCAGCCGCGGUAAUACGGAGGAUGCGAGCGUUAUCCGGAUUUAUUGGGUUUAAAGGGU